rnacentral:rRNA from 1 species
GACGAACGCUGGCGGCGUGCUUAACACAUGCAAGUCGAACGGAAAGGCCCUGCGUUUGUGGGGUUCUCGAGUGGCGAACGGGGGAGUAACACGUGAGUAACCUGCCCUUGACUGUGGGAUAACUUCAGGAAACUGGGGCGAAUACCGGAGAGGAGCUCCUGCUGCAUGGUGGGGGUUGGAAAGUGUCGGCGGUUGGGGAUGGACUCGCGGCUUAUCAGCUUGUUGGUGGGGUAGUGGCUUACCAAGGCUUUGACGGGUAGCCGGCCUGAGAGGGUGACCGGGCACAUUGCGACUGCGAUACGGACCAGAAUCCUACGGGAGGCAGCAGUGGGGAAUCUUGCACAAUGGGCGGAAGCCUGAUGCAGCAACGUUGCGUGCGGGAUGCCGGCCUUCGGGUUGUAAACCGAUUUCGACUGUGACGAAGAGUGAGUGACGGUACCGGGUCAAGAAGCACCGGCUAACUACGUG